rnacentral:rRNA from 1 species
AUUGAACGCUGGCGGCAUGCCUAACACAUGCAAGUCGAACGAUGAUUAAGAGCUUGCUCUUAUGAUUAGUGGCGGACGGGUGAGUAAUGUAUAGGGAUCUGCCUGUUAGUGGGGGACAACAGCCGGAAACGGCUGCUAAUACCGCAUACGCUCUACGGAGGAAAGUGGGGGACCCUCGGGCCUCACGCUAACAGAUGAACCUAUAUUGGAUUAGCUAGUUGGUAGGGUAAAGGCCUACCAAGGCGACGAUCCAUAGCUAGUUUGAGAGAAUGAUCAGCCACACUGGGACUGAGACACGGCCCAGACUCCAACGGGAGGCAGCAGUGGGGAAUAUUGGACAAGGGGCGCAAGCCUGAUCCAGCAAUGCCGCGUGUGUGAAGAAGGCCUUCGGGUUGUAAAGCACGUUAAGUUGGGAGGAAAAGCUGAGGGUUAAUAGCCUUUAGUGUUGACGUUACCAACAGAAUAAGCACCGGCUAACUCCGUG